AACCGCUGCAGGUAAACGGGUGGCGUCAAGCUGCGAACCCAGAGGAUUCAGCUGGCUAGGAUGUUGUGGUGCGCCUGGCGCAUCCAUCAGUCGGAAUAAGAUGUGAUAGUCCACUGGGAGACGGUGGGCCCGGCCGCAAGGUUGGGAUAUGUGUACCGGGUGUUAGCCGGAGCAUGCUAUUCAUCUGUUGGGCUGUCUAGUCAGUGCACUUUCUCUGUGGUGAACACCACGACCGGUGGAAUUGCCAGUCUGCUGUAGUCAAGUCUUGCUGAGUGGGUCCUUGUGGCUGACUUGGUGAGAUCACAGGCAAUGUCAGUGUACGGCGUAGGAGUGCCUUUGGUGUUCCUACGUGUUAUCGGGUACUGCUUGUCAUCGGGCUUGCUCGGUGGUUAUUGUAACUACCGCUGGGUGGUCUGGUGGGCUAUGGUGGUAAUAAAAACUGUGCAAGGCACCGGAGAUGUCGGCCUCAAAAGCGCUCUGCACUGGCAUGUUACAAGUGCGUGGGGGUGCCGUUGCGGUCUGCCUGUUGUUGAGUCUGAUUGUCGUGUCGCCUGCGCAAAGUGGGCCCGGCAGUGGCUUGAUGCGGGAUGGGCUGUGGAUGGUAUUUCUCAGGUGUGGAGUGCGGUGGGCCCAAUAGUCAGUGGUGCUGUGGUAGACGAGCUACCCGACCCGUCUUGAAACACGGACCAAGGAGUUUAACAUGUAUGCGAGUCAAGGGGUCCUACGAAACCCAAAGGCGCAGUGAAAGUAAAGCUUCGACUUGUUCUCGGAGUGAGGUGAGAUCCUGCCGUAACUCGCAUCGCCUGGUGCCAGCAUCAGGCAAAGAGCGGUAGGCGCAUCACCGGCCCGUCCCAUGAUGUGGUCAUUGGAUGUCUGCGGUCGUAGCUUGC
rnacentral:rRNA from 1 species